rnacentral:rRNA from 1 species
GAUGAACGCUGGCGGCGUGCCUAAUACAUGCAAGUCGAACGCAUAGCGAAAGGUACUUGCACCUUUCAAGUGAGUGGCGAACGGGUGAGUAACACGUGGACAACCUGCCUCAAGGCUGGGGAUAACAUUUGGAAACAGAUGCUAAUACCGAAUAAAACUUAGUGUCGCAUGACACAAAGUUAAAAGGCGCUUCCGCGUCACCUAGAGAUGGAUCCGGGGUGCAUUAUGUAGUUGGGGGGGGAAACGCCUACCAAGAAAAUGACUGCUAGCCGCGGUGACAGGCUGCCCGGCCCCCUUGGGAGUGGGACAACGCCCAAACCCCUGAGGGAGGCUGCAGUAGGGAACUCUCCCCCAUGGGCGAAAGCCUGAAGGUGGCACGGCGAGUGUGGCAUGAAGGCUUUCCGGUCGUAAAAGACUGUUGUAUGGGAAGAACCGGUCGAAUAGGAAAUUAUUUUAGGUUCACCGUACCCUACCAGAAAGGGACCGCUAAAUACGUG